ensembl:snoRNA
AAACUACAUUUGACUGCUUACUUGAUUCUGUUUGCAGAAAUUGUUUUAUAACUGGCGAUAGCAAUGCCAUGUUACAAGCCUUAAUGACGUUGGGAUCAUUAAGGUCCCUGAGAGUGGCUAUAUGA